rnacentral:rRNA from 1 species
UCUGGGAAACUGCCUGAUGGAGGGGGAUAACUACUGGAAACGGUGGCUAAUACCGCAUAACGUCGCAAGACCAAAGAGGGGGACCUUCGGGCCUCUUGCCAUCAGAUGUGCCCAGAUGGGAUUAGCUAGUUGGUGAGGUAACGGCUCACCAAGGCGACGAUCCCUAGCUGGUCUGAGAGGAUGACCAGCCACACUGGAACUGAGACACGGUCCAGACUCCUACGGGAGGCAGCAGUGGGGAAUAUUGCACAAUGGGCGCAAGCCUGAUGCAGCCAUGCCGCGUGUAUGAAGAAGGCCUUCGGGUUGUAAAGUACUUUCAGCGGGGAGGAAGGUGUUGUGGUUAAUAACC